UACGGAGGAUGCGAGCGUUAUCCGGGAUUUAUUGGGUUUAAAGGGUGCGUAGGCGGAUUAUUAAGUCAGUGGUGAAACCCUGCAGCUUAACUGUAGACUUGCCAAUGAUACUGAUAGUCUUGAGUAUGGUCAAGGCAGGCGGAAUGUGUAAUGUAGCGGUGAAAUGCUUAGAUAUUACACAGAACACCGAUAGCGAAGGCAGCUUGCUGGGCCGUUACUGACGCUGAUGCACGAAAGUGUGGGGAGCAAACA
rnacentral:rRNA from 1 species